GGAAAAGAAACCAACAGGGAUUGCCUCAGUAACGGCGAGUGAAGCGGCAAAAGCUCAAAUUUUAAAGCUGGCACCUCCGGUGUCCGCGUUGUAAUUUUGUGAGGCAUCUCCGGGUGGGGCGCCGGCCUAAGUUCCUUGGAACAGGACGUCAUAGAGGGUGAGAAUCCCGUGCUUGGCUGGCUGUCCCCGUCCAUGUGAGGUGUCUUCGACGAGUCGAGUUGUUUGGGAAUGCAGCUCAAAAUGGGUGGUAAAUUUCAUCUAAAGCUAAAUAUUGGUGGGAGACCGAUAGCGCACAAGUAGAGUGAUCGAAAGAUGAAAAGCACUUUGAAAAUAGAGUUAAAAAGUACGUGAAAUUGUUGAAAGGGAAGCGCUUGAGACCAGACUUCGGUGGGGAGUGAUCAGCCGUCCUUCUGGGCGGUGCACUUGCCCCCCUCCGGGCCAGCAUCGGUUGGGACGGCGGGAUAAAGGUCCCGGGAAUGUGGCUCCUCUCGGGGAGUGUUAUAGCCCGGGUGAAUGCCGCCAGCCCCGACCGAGGACCGCGCCUUCGGGCUAGGAUGCUUGGCAUAAUGGUCUUCAGCGACC
rnacentral:rRNA from 1 species